GUACACAAAAAUGCACAUAUUGUGAGCUCGAUGAGUAGGGCGGGACACGUGGUAUCCUGUCUGAAUAUGGGGGGACCAUCCUCCAAGGCUAAAUACUCCUGACUGACCGAUAGUGAACCAGUACCGUGAGGGAAAGGCGAAAAGAACCCCGGCGAGGGGAGUGAAAAAGAACCUGAAACCGUGUACGUACAAGCAGUGGGAGCCUCUUUAUGGGGUGACUGCGUACCUUUUGUAUAAUGGGUCAGCGACUUAUAUUCUGUAGCAAGGUUAACCGAAUAGGGGAGCCGAAGGGAAACCGAGUCUUAACUGGGCGUUAAGUUGCAGGGUAUAGACCCGAAACCCGGUGAUCUAGCCAUGGGCAGGUUGAAGGUUGGGUAACACUAACUGGAGGACCGAACCGACUAAUGUUGAAAAAUUAGCGGAUGACUUGUGGCUGGGGGUGAAAGGCCAAUCAAACCGGGAGAUAGCUGGUUCUCCCCGAAAGCUAUUUAGGUAGCGCCUCGUGAAUUCAUCUCCGGGGGUAGAGCACUGUUUCGGCAAGGGGGUCAUCCCGACUUACCAACCCGAUGCAAACUGCGAAUACCGGAGAAUGUUAUCACGGGAGACACACGGCGGGUGCUAACGUCCGUCGUGAAGAGGGAAACAACCCAGACCGCCAGCUAAGGUCCCAAAGUCAUGGUUAAGUGGGAAACGAUGUGGGAAGGCCCAGACAGCCAGGAUGUUGGCUUAGAAGCAGCCAUCAUUUAAAGAAAGCGUAAUAGCUCACUGGUCGAGUCGGCCUGCGCGGAAGAUGUAACGGGGCUAAACCAUGCACCGAAGCUGCGGCAGCGACACUAUGUGUUGUUG
rnacentral:rRNA from 1 species